UUGAACGCUGGCGGAAUGCUUUACACAUGCAAGUCGAGCGGCAGCGCGGGGCAACCUAGCGGCGAGCGGCGAACGGUGAGUAAUGCAUCGGAACAUGUCAUGUCGUGGGGGAUAGCCCGGCGAAAGCCGGAUUAAUACCGCAUACGUCCGAGAGGAGAAAGUGGGGGACCGCAAGGCCUCACGCGAUUGGGUUGGCCGAUGUCCGAUUAGCUAGUGGUGGGGUAAAGGCUCACCAAGGCGAUGAUCGGUAGCUGGUCUAGAGGAUGAUCAGCCACACUGGGACUGAGACACGGCCCAGACUCCUACGGGAGGCAGCAGUGGGGAAUUUUGGACAAGGGGGGCAACCCUGAUCCAGCCAUUCCGCGUGAGUGAAGAAGGCCUUCGGGUUGUAAAGCUCUUUUGUCCGGAACGAAACGGUACGGCUGAAUAAUCGUGGCUACUGACGGUACCGGAAGAAUAAUUAAGCCACCGGCUAACUACGUGCCAGCAGCCGGCGGUAAUACGUAGGGUGCGAGCGUUAAUAGGAAUUACUGGGCCGUAAAGCGUGCGCAGGCGGUUUUGUAAGCCCAGAUGUGAAAUCCCCGGCUUAACCUGGGAAUGGCAUUUGGGACUGCAAGGCUGGAGUGCGGCAGAGGAGACUGGAAUUCCUGGUGUACUGUAGCAGUGAAAUGCGUAGAUAUCAAGAGGAAUACCGAUGGCGUAAGGCCAGGUCUCUGGGCUGACAACUGACGCUCAUGCCACGAAAGCGUGGGAGCAACAGGAUUAGAUACCCUGGCUAGUAACGCCCUAAACGAUGUCGACUGGUUGUUGGGGGUUUGACACUCUCAGUAACGAAGCUAACGCGUGAAGUCGACCGCCAUGGGGAGUACGGCCGCAAGGUUAAAACUCAAAGGAAUGACGGGGGCCACGCACAAGCGGUGGAUUAUGUGGAUUAAUUCGAUGCAACGCGAAAACCUUAACUACCCCUUGACAAUGUCCGGAAGCGGCUGAGAGGCGAGGUGAUGCCCGAAAGGGAACCGGAAACACAGGUGCUGCAUGGCUGUCGUCAGCUCGUGUCGUGAAGAUGUUGGGUUAAGUCCGCAACGAGCGCAACCCUUGACAUUAGUGCUACUGGAAACGGAGCACUCUAAUGAGGACUGCCGGUGACAAACCGAGGAAGGUGGGAUGACGGUCAAGUACCUCAUGGCCUUAUGGGUAGGGCCUUCACACGUAAUACAAUGGCGCGUACAGAGGGUGCAAGAGCGAUCUGGAGCCAAUCCGUAAAGCGCCGUCGUAGUCCGGAUUGCAGUCUGCAAACUCGAUACUGCAUGAAGUCGGAAUCGCUAGCUAAUCGCGGAUCAGCAUGUCGCGGUGAAUACGUUCCCGGGUCUUGUACAAACACGCCCGUCACACCAUGGGAGUGGGUUCACCAGAAGCCGGUCGCUAACCCGCAAGGGAUGGCGCCGACCACGGUGAGAUUCAUGACUGGGGUG
rnacentral:rRNA from 1 species